rnacentral:rRNA from 1 species
UCAAAAACGGGAUAACCCUUUUUAGAUUUAUUAAAUUUGAUAAGAAAACUAUAUUUAUUUAUAUUAAUUAUGGAACUUAUGGAUUCCCAGUUAAAGAUAUUGAUUAAUAAUAGAAAUAUUAAAUUAAUAAUGAUUCAAAAAUUAGGUAAAUUAGGUGCCAGCAACCGCGGUCAUACCUAAUUAUUUCUAUAGUUAUUAAAAGUGAUUAUUAAUUUAUAGAAUAAUUAUUUUAAAAGUAGUAAAAUACUUUAUAUUUAAAUUCUUUUUCUUAAAAACAAAAAUAUUUCACUAAAGCCUUACCAAAAACUAGGAUUAGAUACCCUAUUAUUAAGGACCAAUUAAACCCACUGAGGAUUAAAAUACUUAAAUAUUAAAACUCAAAAAUUAUGGCGGCUUUUGGAACCUAUUAGGGGAACUUACCUAUUAAUUGAUAACCACCAAGAUAUUCAAUAUAUUUAAAAAGUUUGUAUGCCGUCGUCUUUUAAUUUUUAAAAAAAAAUUUAAAGUCAUCUUAAUGAUAUUAUGACAGAUCAAGGUGCAACUAAUAUGUAUAAUAAAGGCGAGUUACAAUAAAAAUAUUUUUCAAAUAAAUUUAUAGAAAUAUAAUUUAAAGAUGGACUUAAAAGUAAAUUUAAAAUUAAAAUUAAAAGUUGAAUUCACAAUUCAUUAGUGU